CAAUUAUGAUGAUGAUAAUGAUGAUGAUGACUAUCACCAUCAUCAUUAUCAGAUAAU
rnacentral:miRNA from 1 species